CAACUCGGCUGGCUUUGCCUCUCAACGCUAAAACUGUUUAGUUUAUCAACAGUAAAUAAUAGAAAAGAAAACUAUUUUCUCAGCGGACAACGUCAACCAAUAUUUCAUUGAAAAUUUGACUAAGAUAUUGCAAAUAUGAAUUAUCCGUUCCAUUCAGUUGCCUUAUCGUGCAUAGUUUUUGCGUACAUUUGGUACAUAGCUUUUCAGUGCUUUUUCAUUCCAUAUUAUUCUCUACAGUGCAGCGGUUGUGAGAGCUUUGGUAAUAUGAUACGGAGGUGUGCACAGUUACCACGUCGCUGCUUUUAUACCUACAAAGACUGUGUGCCCUUGUGCAGAGAGAGAUGCUAAAAGCAAAAUCAUUUAUGGAAUACAGAAAGCAUGCGGAAACGUUUUGAUUCACACACUUUUUGUGUGCUGCAUUUUAUGGGACUAUCAAAUAUUUUUGUGCUAUUACUAAAAAUUUCAAAAUAUAAUUCAGCAAUAACAAUAUAUGUGAGCACCUAUCAGGGCUCGAACCAGCUUACUGCCUUUAAGUUUGGUUUGUGAAUCUGAUUUGCCAUAUCCAUAGACCCAGUGUUUGCUUCAAACUUUUUUAAUGGUUGGGCUGAGUCCCCCUUAAAAGUUCUUUAUUGCGAACUAAACCAUUUUCCGAGUUUCGUCCAACAUUUAUAUUUCGCAGACAGCUCGUUUUGGGUUUCGGGUCGUAUCAAUAACUAAAAGGGAUUCAGCUUUGGUUCUCGCCCGAUUUGCAGCUUUGACUUUUAUUGAAUUUACACGCAGUUUUUGUAGCUGUAAUCGAUUAAUCCAUAUAUCGAUAUAGCUAACAACUCGAUUGACUUUGCUUUAUAAUUCCAAAACUAUUUAGUUUCUCAUCAGUAAAAAACAAAGCAAGUUUCCCAGUGGACAUCGUCAACCAAUAUUCUAUUUAAAAUUUGACUAAGAUAUUGUAAAUAUGAACUAUCCGUUUCAUUCAGUUGUUUUAUCGUGCAUAGUUGUUGCGUACAUUUUGAACAUAGUAUUUCACUGUUUUUACAUUCCAUACUAUUCGCUGCAGUGCAGCGGCUGUGAGAGCUAUGGUAAUAUGAUACGGAAGUGUGUACAGUUACCACGUCGCUGCUUUUAUACCUACAAAGACUGUGUGCCCUUGUGCAGAGAGAGAUGCUAAAUACAAAAUCAUUUAUGGGAUGAAAUGGAACUUGAGAAUAUAUAUGGAAUAUCAAAUAUUUUUGUGCUAUUACUUAAAAUUUCAAAAUAUAUAAUUCAGCAAUGACAAUAAAUGUGAACGCAUAUUAGGGUUCAUAAAAAGAAAUAUAAAA